rfam:Loxodonta africana unplaced genomic scaffold scaffold_1, whole genome shotgun sequence.
UCAUCGGUGGUUCGGUGGUAGAAUUCUCGCCUUCCAUGCAGGAGAUCCAGGUUUGAUUCCCAGCCAAUGAG